GGUCCUGUGGCCAAAUGGUUACGGCACCAGACUCCUAAUCUGGAGAUUCUGGGUUCAAGUCCCAGCAGGAUCG